rnacentral:lncRNA from 1 species
CUGCUAGGGUACUCACAUAUUCAACAUGAUACAGAAAAUUUUGCCACCAGCUUUGGCCUUCUGAACUGCAUAUCUUUCCCAGAAACACGAUAAACUUCUUGAUUCUUCUCAACUCGUCUACGACCAGAUGACCGUCUAUCAUCUCUAUCGUUAUCUUAGCAUGUCCUUUGCUGAAUAGUCUCUCUACAACGUUGUCUAUGUAUUCCACGACGAGUUUGUAGCCCAGAGGAGUAGUUCCAGCUGCUUUUAUAGUUCCUGGAUAUUCAUAUGCAGCUACCAUGUCAUGCUCCUUGAAAUUAUUAAUCCUUUCAAGCAAAUCAAUGCCCAUAGCCCUAUAGUCAGAGCAGACCAGACUUUCAAAAUAUCUCAAAAAUUGUUUGAUCUGCCCUACCACGUAUGAAGAUUCCUCCAAGCGAAA